GUGGACAUGUCAGAAGCAUAAUAGUGUUAACAUGAUCUCACAGCUGGAUGUAGGAAGCAGAACCAACUACUCGACGGAGAUUAGUCUUCUGGUCACAACCUCAGGCACGACAUCAACAGCAAGAAUCUGUCUCCCAUUGUGAAUCUGCCUUGGACUGCAGAGCUUGACAAGAUUUCACAAACCAGGAAGCGAUGUCCAUCAACUGCUAAACCACACCUGGUGUCACCAGCGGGAGAUUUGCUCGUCCUCAUCUUGGUCUGCAUAUAAGUAGACGUGGUACAAACUUUGAAGCAAUAUUGCAGUUGCCUAAGAGACACUGUACUCUACUCAUCUGUCUAAGUUUCGUGAAAAGCAGCCAUGAAGAGCAUGUUGGCUUGUCUGGCCUUUGGUGGCGUCCUCAUUGCACUGGCUGUAGACACCAGCGCUUAUCCCCAGCAGCAGGAGCUUCCGACCCAACAUCAGCAGCUUCCGACCCAACAUCAGCAGCAGCAGCAACCACCUCUGCAGAAUGUUGUGACCGAAUGGUGCAGGUCUGAAAACGGCUCAGUGCCUUACUGGCUGGACCCUACCUGUACGACCUAUGUGACCUGUACUAAUUUCAACCUGACCCUAGAAAAGUGCGAAGAGGGUCUGGCAUACAGUUUCCGUCAGAAGCAUGCGUGGAGAUUGACCUCGUGAACUGCACGGAUCAGAACGAACAGUUCAUCUUGGUGCUGAGGAAGGUGGUGGCCUCAACCUUCUACAAUAACUUGCCAAGACCUCACCUGCCUUUCGGCGCCGCUGCACCAGCCGACGGCGAGAACGAGGAGAGGGAGGAAGAGAAUUCCAGCAACGUGCCCGCCGGUCGCGCUGCCGCUGGUGGUCUCGGUGCUUCUACAGACGAGGAGGAGGGCGCGGGCGACAACGCUGUCUUGACCAUUGACCUCACCGAUCUGCCCACCAUCGUCGUGGAUAGCUCGAACUCGUUCAACGUGACCCUUCCGUCUGCCAUGUGUCAUCACCUUGACGACAGAGUCUCUCAGCUCGAGCAGAGUGUCAACACCGUGCUGCUGAUGCUGACCGGAUGUCCCGAGCGCGCAUGCGACGUACCUCUCUUCCAUUUUGAUUGUUAGAUGCACGCGCUGGAGAGAAGCGAUGACAUGAUGUCACGAGAAAUCGUUCUUCCCUGAUAAUGUUGUUGGUUGUUAUUGUGUGGCGCGUGCCUUCUGCCAGUUUCCAUGAGCAGUCGGCGUGGUCGCUGUCGGUGUCUGGCUUUAAGAAAACAUCUUGAUGAGAGGGCAAUAAAGGACCUGGUGCGAUGCUG